CACACUACAGACAGCCACUUACCUCAAGGGUGCCAUAUUUGCUCUUCCUUUACCUGGAGAACUCCCUCUCAAAACUCCCUGUUUGCUGCCCCUGUUCGCAAGUCCUGACUAUAACAGUGGGCAUUCACUCUCAUUGCUACUUGACGAGCAUACUCACCAGCAAGUCAGGGUUCUCAAGAUAUGUCUACACUGGAGCUGGUGGUCUCAUUUCCAGCCUGAGUGCAUAUACCCAUGCUAGCUGGAUUAGCGCUAAUGCACUAAAAAUGGCAGUGUAGCUGUGGCAAUGUAAACAUCUGGAGGGACUAGUUGCCCAGAUUAAUGGAGUGAAGCCCACUGAGAUCAAUGCGAGUUUUCCCUGAACUUCAGUGAGGCUGACUUCCCCCAUUGUCUACGGUAUACCAACAGUUAUAUGCUUUUAACUGUAUCAUUAUGU